rnacentral:rRNA from 1 species
GUCUACGGCCAUGCCACCCUGAACAAGCCCGAUCCCGUCUGAUCUCGGAAGCUAAGCAGGGUCAAGCCUGGUUAGUACUUGGAUGAGAGACCACCUAGGAAAACCAGGUGCUGUCGGCG